rnacentral:rRNA from 1 species
AGUUCGAUCAUGGCUCAGAUUGAACGCUGGCGGGAUGCUUUACAUGCAAGUCGAACGGCAGCACGGACUUCGGUCUGGUGGCGGUGGCGAACAGGUGAGCAAUGUCAGGAACGUGCCUAGUAGCGGGGACUCUUCCACCGCGAAAGCGUAGCUAAUACCACCUUACGCCCUUCCGGGGGAAAGCGGGGGACCUUCGGGCCUCACUAUUAGAGGAAGCGACCGAUAUCGGAUUAGCUAGUUGGUGGGGUAACGGCUCACCAAGGCGACGAUCCGUAGCUGGUUUGAGAGGACGACCAACCACACUGGGACUGAGACACGGCCCAGCUCCUACAGGCAGCGGUGGGGAAUUUUGGACAAUGGGGAAGCCUGAUCCAGCCAUCCCGCGUGUGCGAUGAAGGCCUUCGGGUUGUAAAGCACUUUGGCAGGGAAAGAAACGGCACGGGAUAUUACCCCGUACAGCAGGCGGUACCUGCAGAAUAAGCACCGGCUGCUACGUGCCAGCAGCCGCGGUAAUACGUAGGGUGCAAGCGUUAAUCGGAAUUACUGGGCGUAAAGUACAUGAACGGUUGGAAGAAAGAUGUGAAAUCCCAGAGCUUAACUUUGGAACUGCAUUUUUAACUACCGAGCUAGAGUGUGUCAGAGGAAUUGGAAUUCCGCGUGUAGCAGUGAAAUGCGUAGAUAUGCGGAGGGAACACCGAUGGCGAAGGCGGCACUACCGGAUAACACCUGACCGCUCUAUGCACGAAAGCGUGGGAGCAAACAGGAUUAGAUACCCUGGUAGUCCACGCCUAAACGAUGUCAGCUUAGCGUAGGGCCUUCGGGCCUUGGUAGCGCAGCUAACGCGUGAAGUUGACCGCCUGGGAGAUACGGUCGCAAGAUUAAAACUCAAAGGAAUUGACGAGGACCCUUUUAAGCGGUGGAUGAUGAUGUGGAUUAAUUCGAUGCAACGCGAAAAACCUUACCUACCCUUGACAUGUCUGGAAUCCCGAAGAGAUUUGGGAGUGCUCGCAAAGAACCGGAACACAGGUGCUGCAUGGCUGUCGUCAGCUCGUGUCGUGAGAUGUUGGGUUAAGUCCCGCAACGAGCGCAACCCUUGUGUUGGUUGUUGCUACGAAAGGGCACUCUAAUGAGACUGCCGGUGACAAACCGGAGGAAGGUGGGGAUGACGUCAAGUCCUCAUGGCCGCUUAUGGGUAGGGCUUCACACGUCAUACAAUGGUCAGGACGGGGUCGCCAACGAGGCAAUCAAAGCCGAUCGUAGUCCGGAUCGCAGUCUGCAACUCGACUGCGUGAAGUCGGAAUCGCUAGUAAUCGCGGAUCAGCUUGUCGCGAAUUGAAUACGUUCCCGGGUCUUGUACACCGCCCGUCACACCAUGGGAGUGGGUUUGCAAGUAGUUAGCCUAACCGUAAGGGGAGGGCGAUUACCACGGUAGGAUUCAUGACUGGGGUGGAAGUCGUAACAGGGUAG